UACGUAGGGUGCGAGCGUUAAUCGGAAUUACUGGGCGUAAAGCGUGCGUAGGCGGUUUGUUAAGACAGGUGUGAAAUCCCCGGGCUUAACCUGGGAAUUGCGCUUGUUACUGGCAGACUAGAGUACGUCAGAGGGGGGGUGGAAUUCCACGUGUAGCAGUGAAAUGCGUAGAGAUGUGGAGGAACACCGAUGGCGAAGGCAGCCCCCCUGGGGAUGAUACUGACGCUCAGGCACGAAAGCGUGGGGAGCAAACAGG
rnacentral:rRNA from 1 species